AACCUAUUAGCUCAAAUGGUAGAGCAAUGUGCCAUUGCACAUGGAUGUAGGUUCAAAUCCUACAUAGGUUA
rfam:Spinacia oleracea cultivar SynViroflay scaffold48116.con0001.1, whole genome shotgun sequence.